GAGAAGGGAAGGCCAGCAGUGCCUGGUUGGAUGGCAAAAGCUAGACCAAAGCUUCACACGAAGGAGGCCAUCCUCUCCUGGGAAGGGAGGAUGCGCGCUCUGCUGGAUGAAGACCUCUGUGAGGGGCAGCAGCAGAUGUGUGCGUGAAGUCCUUGGGGGAAACGCGGGAGGAGAGGACCAGGCAAACUGCUGGAGGAACCGAGAGUGCAUUCGUUCUCCUGAGAGUCAGCAGCCGCGCAAGGCCUUCUUUCUGGCACUGCUGCUAUGAAGUAUUUGGGGCCGAUGAUGGAGGAAAACGAUGGAGAAAAGCAGCGGAUUCAUGUGCUUGGGAAUUUGCAUCCAACUCCAUAGCUGCAUUAGAUGGAGACUAGAGCCCACGAGACUGGGGAAGCUUUCUGAGAACCCCUGAAAUCAGUAGGUGUCCAGUCCUGAGAGUGAGGGCGCUCGGGUCAGAUGCGUGUGCUUGCUUGCUUGGACGCUUGCUUGCCUGGGCAUCCUCCUCCAUGCAAGACCCCCGUCUGUAUCUGAUUUCCUCCGGCUUAUCCCUUAGCAAUGUCUGGAGACAUGUAUAAAAACGACAAAGGAUUCAUGGAGACUUAGAAAAGCUGCAUGAUGGAAAACACUCGGAUCGGCGUGGUAAGUGUAGAUCUGAAGGCCAUGCACAUGUGUAGGG
rnacentral:lncRNA from 1 species